GGUGGAGCAUGUGGUUUAAUUCGAAGCUACGCGAAGAACCUUACCAGGUCUUGACAUCUUGCGCCAACCCUAGAGAUAGGGCGUUUCCUUCGGGAACGCAAUGACAGGUGGUGCAUGGUCGUCGUCAGCUCGUGUCGUGAGAUGUUGGGUUAAGUCCCGCAACGAGCGCAACCCUUGUUACUAGUUGCCAGCAUUAAGUUGGGCACUCUAGUGAGACUGCCGGUGACAAACCGGAGGAAGGUGGGGACGACGUCAGAUCAUCAUGCCCCUUAUGACCUGGGCUACACACGUGCUACAAUGGACGGUACAACGAGUCGCGAACUCGCGAGGGCAAGCAAAUCUCUUAAAACCGUUCUCAGUUCGGACUGCAGGCUGCAACUCGCCUGCACGAAGUCGGAAUCGCUAGUAAUCGCGGAUCAGCAUGCCGCGGUGAAUACGUUCCCGGGCCUUGUACACACCGCCC
rnacentral:rRNA from 2 species